GAUGAACGCUGGCGGCGUGCCUAAUACAUGCAAGUCGAGCGAACAGACGAGGAGCUUGCUCCUCUGACGUUAGCGGCGGAUGGGUGAGUAACACGUGGAUAACCUACCUAUAAGACUGGGAUAACUUCGGGAAACCGGAGCUAAUACCGGAUAAUAUAUUGAACCGCAUGGUUCAAUAGUGAAAGACGGUUUUGCUGUCACUUAUAGAUGGAUCCGCGCCGCAUUAGCUAGUUGGUAAGGUAACGGCUUACCAAGGCAACGAUGCGUAGCCGACCUGAGAGGGUGAUCGGCCACACUGGAACUGAGACACGGUCCAGACUCCUACGGGAGGCAGCAGUAGGGAAUCUUCCGCAAAGGGAGAAAGCCUGACGGAGCAACGCCGCGUGAGUGAUGAAGGUCUUCGGAUCGUAAAACUCUGUUAUUAGGGAAGAACAAAUGUGUAAGUAACUAUGCACGUCUUGACGGUACCUAAUCAGAAAGCCACGGCUAACUACGUG
rnacentral:rRNA from 1 species